UCCAUUUUACCCAGGGCCAAGUGUAGCCAGCUUGAUCUAUAUCCUGCCACUGGACUUAGAUGGCUCUGGAAAAUAAGGAACUUGCUUUCUAGUUGGAGAGGUAAGGGAAUUGCUCAUGAUGUCAUCAUGAUAAAAAUUAGAACACAAAUUUUGAGCAUUGGAAGAACAGAGGAAUCAAUGCACCAAGGUGACUUCUUUGAAGAUUAAAAAAAAAAAACCUAUUCCAAUAC